rnacentral:rRNA from 1 species
ACACUCCUGCGGGAGGCAGCAGUGGGGAAUUUUGGACAAUGGGCGAAAGCCUGAUCCAGCAAUGCCGCGUGUGUGAAGAAGGCCUUCGGGUUGUAAAGCACUUUUGUCCGGAAAGAAAUCCUUGGCUCUAAUACAGUCGGGGGAUGACGGUACCGGAAGAAUAAGCACCGGCUAACUACGUGCCAGCAGCCGCGGUAAUACGUAGGGUGCGAGCGUUAAUCGGAAUUACUGGGCGUAAAGCGUGCGCAGGCGGUUUGCUAAGACCGAUGUGAAAUCCCCGGGCUCAACCUGGGAACUGCAUUGGUGACUGGCAGGCUAGAGUAUGGCAGAGGGGGGUAGAAUUCCACGUGUAGCAGUGAAAUGCGUAGAGAUGUGGAGGAAUACCGAUGGCGAAGGCAGCCCCCUGGGCCAAUACUGACGCUCAUGCACGAAAGCGUGGGGAGCAAACAGGAUUAGAUACCCGAGUAGUCCCA